CAGCGCGAGAGAGAGCUGGGAAGAGAGCCAGUCCCGGGGGGCGGGGACGCGGCAGAAGGGCGGCUCCGGAUGACGGCCAGGAAGCAACAAAGCGGCAACACAAACCGGAAGCGGGACCGCUGGUGACAGGAUGGGGCCCUGCGAGAGCCGGGAAGAGCCCGGAGAGGCGGGGGCGCCGCCGGGAUGCCGGGAGCAGGCGGCCGAGGGCAGGAAGCGGGGCGUCUCCGCGCGGGGAGUCCCAGGUGAAAUCGACGUCCCCGUCGAAAAAAGGAUCUCAAGAUUCUAAGAAGUAGAAGAGAUCUUUUGUUUUGACAUUAAGAGGAGGCUGUAAAAGCAAGCAUCUUUCCCAAAGUACGCGGGCCUCUCACUGCUGUGGCCUCUCCCGUUGCGGAGCACAGGCUCCGGACGCGCAGGCCCAGCGGUCACGGCUCACGGGCCCAGCAGCUCCGCGGCACGUGGGAUCUUCCCGGACCGGGGCACGAACCCGUGUCCCCUGCAUCGGCAGGCGGACUCUCAACCACUGAGCCACCAGGGAAGCCCUAAAUUUUUAUUUUAUAUUGAAAUAGAGUUGAUUAACAAUGUUGUGUUAGUUUCAGGUGUACAGCAAAGUGAUUCCAUUUUACAUGUACAUGUAUCUAUUCUUUUUCAAAUUCUUUUCUCAUUUAGGUUAUUGAGUAUUGAGCAGAGUUCCCUGUGCUCUACAGUAGGUCCUUGUUGGUUAUCUAUUUUAAACAUAGCCAUGUGUACAUGUCAAUCCCAAACUCCCAGUCUGGCCUUCCCCCCAUCCUUCCCCCCGGUAACUGUAAAUUUGUUCUCUAAGUCUGUGAGUCCA